UACGGAGGGGGCUAGCGUUGUUCGGAAUUACUGGGCGUAAAGCGCACGUAGGCGGCUUUGUAAGUUAGAGGUGAAAGCCCAGGGCUCAACCCUGGAAUUGCCUUUAAGACUGCAUCGCUUGAACAUCGGAGAGGUAAGUGGAAUUCCGAGUGUAGAGGUGAAAUUCGUAGAUAUUCGGAAGAACACCAGUGGCGAAGGCGACUUACUGGACGAUUGCUGACGCUGAGGGGCGAAAGCGUGGGGAGCAAACAGG
rnacentral:rRNA from 1 species